rnacentral:rRNA from 1 species
GACGAACGCUGGCGGCGUACCUAAUACAUGCAAGUCGGGCGGACUUUCAAGAAGCUUGCUUUUUGAAAGUUAGCGGCGGACGGGUGAGUAACACGUGGGCAACCUGCCUGUAAGACGAGGAUAACUCCGGGAAACCGGGGCGAAUACCGGAUAAUAUCGUUCUUCGCAUGCAGGAAGGUUGAAAGGCGUGGCAGGAUGCCGCUGGUAGAUGGGCCCGGGGCGCAUUAGCUAGUUGGUGAGGUAACGGCUCACCAGGGCGACGAUGCGUAGCCGACCUGGGAGGGUGAUCGGCCACACUGGGACUGAGACACGGCCCAGACUCCUACGGGAGGCAGCAGUAGGGAAUCUUCCGCAAUGGACGAAAGUCUGACGGAGCAACGCCGCGUGAGCGAAGAAGGUCUUCGGAUCGUAAAGCUCUGUUGUCAGGGAAGAACAAGUACCGUUCGAAUAGGGCGGUACCUUGACGGUACCUGACCAGAAAGCCACAGCUAACUACGUGCCAGCAGCCGCCGUAA